rnacentral:rRNA from 1 species
GCCAGCAGUCGCGGUAAUACGUAGAAGACUAGUGUUAUUCAUCUUUAAUUGGUUUAAAGGGUACCUAGACGGUAAAUCAAGCCAGUAAUACGGGACUAAUAUACUAGAGUUACUUACGAGGGGGUUUUAAAGUACUAAUGGUGUAGAGAUGAAAUUCUGUCAUACCUCGUUUCAAGAGAAACGUAACGGCACAGGUAUAGGCGAAAGCAUCCCCUUAUGUGAUAACUGACGUUGAAGGACGAAGGCUUUUUAUCGCGAACAGGAUUAGAUACCCCAGUAGUCAAAGCAGAAAAUGAUGAAUGUCAUAGAUUAGAUUAGAUUAGGUGACCUAUAUAGGUCUUUUGGAUCACGAUUAAUCCGCUAUCAGAAGUACAGAUACAUGAAAGUAUCUGUUUUACACACUAUUCUGUAAAUGAGCCUAGCAAUUUAUUCUAUAAAUGAAAGUGUAAGCAUUCCACCUCAAGAGUAAUUUGGCAACAUUGGAACUGAAAUCAUUAGACCGUUUCUGAAACCAGUAGUGAAGUAUGUUGUUUAAUUUGAUAAUCCGCAAAAAACCUUACCACAAUUUGAAUAUAUAUUGUUUUUCUUCAUAUCUUGUCUUGCAGAAGAUAAGAUUGAAGAAGAUAGAAGAUAUUUACAAGCGUUGCACGGCUGUCUUCAGUUAAUGUCGUGAGAUUCUGGUUAGUUCCUUAAAUUAACGUAAACCCUCACUUUAUUUUUAGAUAAAGUUGUUCUUUGCUAUAUUGGAUAAGAUAACAGGGACUAAGACAAGUCAUCAUGGCCUAAAUAUUGUGGGCUACAAACGUGCCACAUAGACCUUACAAAAGG